rnacentral:misc_RNA from 1 species
GAUGAAGAACGCAGCGAAAUGCGAUAAGUAAUGUGAAUUGCAGAAUUUAGUGAAUCAUCGAAUGUUUGAACGCACAUUGCGCCCCUCGGCACUCCGGGGGGCAUGCCUGUCCGAGCGUCAUUGCACCCCUCGAGCCCCCCGUGGCUUGGUCGUGAGCCGCGCCCGCGCCAGCCCCGUCCCCCCCCGUGCAGCGGGGGGCAGGGGCGCCGGGCGGGCUCGAAACGCAGUGGCGGCCCCCGGGCGACUUCCAGCGCGAUGACAUGUUUCGCUGCCGAAGCCUUCGCCCCGGGCGCCCGCCAGGCAACCCCCGUGCUUCUUACGCGGUUGACCUCGGAUCAGGCAGGGAUACCCGCUGAACUUAAGCAUAUCAAUAAGCGGAGGA